rnacentral:tRNA from 1 species
GUGGGUAUGGCACAGUUGGUUAGCGCGCCAGAUUGUGGCUCUGGAGGUCGUGGGUUCGAGUCCCACUACCCACCCUA